rnacentral:rRNA from 1 species
AUUGAACGCUGGCGGCAUGCCUUACACAUGCAAGUCGAACGGUAACAGGUCUUCGGAUGCUGACGAAUGGCGAACGGGUGAGUAAUACAUCGGAACGUGCCUAGUAGUGGGGGAUAACUACUCGAAAGAGUGGCUAAUACCGCAUGAGAUCUACGGAUGAAAGCAGGGGAUCGCAAGACCUUGUGCUACUAGAGCGGCCGAUGGCAGAUUAGGUAGUUGGUGGGAUAAAAGCUUACCAAGCCGACGAUCUGUAGCUGGUCUGAGAGGACGAUCAGCCACACUGGGACUGAGACACGGCCCAGACUCCUACGGGAGGCAGCAGUGGGGAAUUUUGGACAAUGGGCGCAAGCCCGAUCCAGCAAUGCCGCGUGCAGGAUGAAGGCCUUCGGGUUGUAAACUGCUUUUGUACGGAACGAAAAGCCCUGGGUUAAUACCCUGGGGUCAUGACGGUACCGUAAGAAUAAGCACCGGCUAACUACGUGCCAGCCGCCGCGGUAAGAC